rnacentral:rRNA from 1 species
AAGUUUUCGGAUGGAUUUAAAACAGCUUAGUGGCGGACGGGUGAGUAACGCGUGGGUAACCUGCCUCACACUGGGGGAUAACAGUUAGAAAUAGCUGCUAAUACCGCAUAAGCGCACAGCUUCGCAUGAAGCAGUGUGAAAAACUCCGGUGGUAUGAGAUGGACCCGCGUCUGAUUAGCUAGUUGGUGAGGUAACGGCCCACCAAGGCGACGAUCAGUAGCCGACCUGAGAGGGUGAUCGGCCACAUUGGGACUGAGACACGGCCCAAACUCC